GUAGUGUUUCAUCUUGGCUCUUUUUAUUGAAGACUCAGGAUCUGUGCAAUAACGUUCCAUAGGGUCUCAGAGCCCGGGAAAACGUUGAACGAUAUCGAGGCAGGCUCUGGCUGAAACACUUUAUCGCUUUUGGCAAGUGGCCACUCAGAGUACUAUGGGCUUAGGCGUGUGCCCGCUUCGACCGAAUGGUUUCUUUUCCUUUGUCUGUUUAUCUAAACGCAGAUUCCCGGUCGGAAUAUUAUCGCUUUUUUAUGAGAAAAAUGGCAUAAAAAUUGAUUUUAAACAGCGGUUGACAUGCUUCGAAGUACGGUAAUGGAAUAUUUAGAAUUCUUUUGUCACGAAUUGCGCCAUGCUCGUCACCCUUAUUUAGCCUUUAGGAUAGUGUCUAGAACGCACGAACAAAACACCGCUGUUUGGAUAUAACAAUGGAUUAUUUUGGACCAAACCAACAUUUGUUAUUGAAGUAGAAGUCCUGGGAGUGCAUUCUGACGAAGACAACAAAGGAAGGACAAAGGAAGACAAAGACAAAUGGACAGAUAGAAGGGAAUGAGGCCAGGGAAGGAUGGAGGUGCAGCAUGUUAUUGUUAAGACUGUUAUGAUUUGAUUAAACCUCUUCUUUCUUUCUCCCUUAGAUAACUCGGAUGCUUAUAUUGAGGAAUAACCCCUUGUUUAAAUACAGACGUUCCUUAGCCCAAAUGUUAUGACAAGAGAAGAUUCCUUCUAUUCCUGACAAAGACACAUCGGACAGCCUCUUGAUAUUCUCUCUGAAAUAAGACCAAAAAAAGGUCUAAUGUUUCAUGGAAAUUGUUGUGAAAACAAGCGACAGGUCUCUCUCUAUUUCUAACAGUGUAUGCAUGAUUUGAA
rnacentral:lncRNA from 1 species